rnacentral:misc_RNA from 1 species
UCACCCCUCAAGCCCCGGCUUGGUGUUGGACUUUUUCGGUUUGGCAACAGACCGGUCUCAAAGAUAGUGACGGCGUCCCGGAAGGCCCCCGUACGAGGAGCUUUUAGUUAAGCAUGUAUGCGGUGCGACUCUGUGGGCGGCGGUCUUUACUUUAUAAUUUAUACCAGUG